GCUGCUGGUGAGGAGGUGAAGAAAUGAAAGAGAGGAAGGAAGGAAGGGCGUGAAGGUUGGGAGAGAAAAGAAGGAUGAGAAGAAAAGGAAACGGAAGGUUUGAAGAAAGUGACCAGAAGUUUGUGUGCGAGGAUCCUGGAGGAGAUAAGAUUUUCUGAAGGUGGAAGUCCAAAAGUCUAUCCAACAAGACACCCACACUGGCCAUGAUGUGAAGGCUGUGUGCUGCUGAUACAGAGCUGAGAAGCUGCACCGCUGAGAGAGAAGCAAAGAAUGCCCAGAUGGUGAACCAAUGAGGGG